AUUUUUAAAAAUUAACUACUCAAUAUUACCUCAUUGUGUUAUAGUGAGAAUUAAAUGAAAUAUUAUGCAUAAAGUACUUAAUUCAGAGUCUAACACAUUGUACAAAAAUGUAUACAUCUUUGUUCUCCCUUGCCUAGAUAUAGCUAGUGUCGAAAGUAUCCUUGCCCUUACUUCCUGGAAGAAAACUCUGGGACUACAGGAGCCAGCUGACUUCCAUGCCCCACAGUGCCUCAUGCUUGCAAAAAGGCUGCUGUGGAUCCAGAUACCAUAUUUAUAUAAAAGCCCAUUUUGUACUCCUUUUUUCUGCACUGGAGAAGCAGCUACUGGAAGCAGGGUUAGAACAAGCUUGACCACAGGAUUGCAAAGAAUCACUGAAGUGGUGUUUGCAUUAGUCCCAAGUGCUGGCCACCUCAUCUCAACUCUCCCUAGAGGAAGAGACCCUGUAAGUCCCAAGGACACAUCCGGAAGAGUAUUGUGGAGAGUGAGGUAUUGGAAGACAGGUGUCACAAAAAUAGCGGCAUAGGGAGCUCCAAGUAUCUAUCCCUCCACUGAAGAAAACGUUAAGCUGGCAAAAACAUUCAGAAUCAGGAAUGUAAUAAAAAGAAGACUCGCAACA
rnacentral:lncRNA from 12 species